AAUGAAUGAUUGUGAUAUGACUAUGACAAGCAAUAUAUUUUUUCCUAAAAAGAACUUUGUCUGAAAUUUUGGAACACCUUGACUAUUACAUUAGGCAGUACUGAUGUUGGUAACAUUGGAACUGGAGUUCUGGAAGCCUUACCCCAUUAGGAGUUGGAUUCAAACCUGUUCGAAUUUGUCCAGCUCAUAAGAGGAUUCACAACUGUCUGUACUAGUCUUGGGAAAGAAUACUCGCCAAUCAAUUUAAUAGAAUGGAUAGAAUGAUUAUCUGGAAUAUUCUCUUCAAUUAUUAUUACUGCAUUGGUGAAUAUUCUUUUCCAAGUCUAGCCUAUGCCAGGCUUUCGUGCCAGUCUCCGUGUGUGUGUGUGUGUGUGUGUGUGUGUGUGUGUGUGUGUGUGAAAACUACGAGAAGGGCACUGAGACAGAAGGCUAGAGACUAGAAACUGAAAAACAAUUGGACUGCUGAGCAUGCUCAGUCAGUAGCCUCAUAUCCUGACAGGAGGCAUGAGAUGGUAGUUACGUCUGCUUCCCCUACCUUUGGAGGCAAACUACUGCGCUAUACUCUGGCUGGCUGGCAUACUACUGAAUAUACUGAGGGCCUUUAUCUGCACCUAAGGAUGAAGAUUUUUUCUAGUGAGCCCUCUCAACUGCCAGUUUCCACCACCCCGCUUUCACAGUUGUAAGGGGGGUUUUGUUGUUUUGCUUGGGAAUAGAGAACGUGCUUCCUUUUCUCCCUUUUCCAAGAUUUCUCAGGAAAGCUUUAAUACAAUUGAAGUGUUUUUAAACUCUAACCUGAAAAGCUGGGGGUGAGGGGAAUCAAACAGACUGCAAACUGCAUUGAGAAGCAUCCACCCAUCAUUAGGCAGAAUAUGCUAGAUGAGCCAGAUUGGUUGGGCAGACUAUAUUAUGUAUAUUGAUUUAAAUCUAUUGUUCAGAGCAAAGAUCUAUUUGGAAUGCAUACAGAAGAUAUACCUAAUUUUAUUUUCCUAUAACUAUUGUAUUUUUAUAUAAAGGACUAUAUAUUAGAUUUGGACAUUAUUUCAAUCAGAUUAUAUAUUAUAUAACACAGGCAUGCUGAGAGAAAAACCAGCACAAAAUAGUAUCCUACUAGCUGACCAGGCGCAGAGUGUCUGCACCCCUAGUUCUCCCUGACUCUUCCCCCCCACCUUCAGCCCUUUCUCGUUCUACCUUACUCUCCCUCCAUUUCAGGGCUCAGCCAGUUCUCUUCCCAUCCCUUCAGCCUGUCUCCCUCCCUGCCCUCUCUGCUGGCAGCUCUCAUCCUCCUUGCACGGAGGCCAGCACCGUCUGCUCAGCCGCUUGCAAUCGCACCUCCUCUGCGUCCCUCCCCCGACAGCUCUCAUCCUCCUCACCAGGAGCCUGGUGCCCUGUUUUUGUUGGCUGCUCGGCCGUUUGCAGUGGCAGUGCCGCCUUUUCCUCGACCGCCCCUGCUUCCCUCUCCCCACCAGCUCUCGUCCUCCUUGCAAAGAGGCCAGCAGCCCCAUUUCCUCCUCAGGGCAGCAGGGCAUUGCCCACCGCCCAUCCUCCUCCUCAGGGCAGCGGGGCUUCGCCCAUCCUCCUUCCCAGGAUAGUGAGCCGGUGCUAUCAGGAGGCGUGGCUAGAACUCAUGCACAUAUCUUCCCCUCUGUCAGCCAAUCGCCUCCUUUCUGCCACGUCCCCAUGCAUCCCAUCUUGGAGAAAUAAUUACAUAGAUGGAACAAUGUAAAUUAAAAUGACCAUAAUAAUGAAAUGUUUUAAUUUUUACAGAGAAAGACAAACAAAAUUUUGCAGAUCAGAAACUGAGUAAAAUAAUAAAGGCAAUAGACCUAACAGUGAAAAAUUAACCAUGCAGAAAUGCAAGAAAUGUAUUGCAGUGCUUCAGCCUUCCUGCACAGUUUCAUAGCACAUGGUUCUUAACAGUGAUACACAAUUUGUUCAUGAUAUUAUUUUACUAUCUUUUAAACUAAUUUUCUUUACUCAAACUAAAUCAAAAUUAUAAUAUCAAUAUUCCAUUGAGCUCUUCCUAGAGCUUUCGCAGACAGCAGGCUACUGUGAGACUUUAAUGCGAGUUUGAAGCUGCCAAAAAAACUCAACACAAAAAGUGGAUUUUUUUAAACUUUGGAUAUAAACCUGGCUACUUUCUAACGUGCAGUGAAAAACCCGAAUUGUGUGUGAAGUGCUCCCUGAUAGUUUACAGGACCUUCAGGGUAAAUCUGGCCAAUAUGUGAAUGCACCCCCUCCAUUCUGGAAGAGAUGCGAACUAGAAGCCGGGUGUGGAAAACUUCCUGAUAAUUACCUUCACAAAUGCUCAAGUAAUGCACAAGAAGUUGACUAUUUCUGUGGAUAAUGAUCAAUAAAAUGCACAAGUAGGUAUUUUAAAACAAACAACUUUGCUAUGUGACAUUUAGCACUGAGGUUUUUGCUGCAAACAUCACAUGCUAGAGUGUUAUGUCUAUGGUUCUAGUUUGUUUAUAUAUAAUCAGCCUAACUCAGAUCUACACGAACAAUGAGUGGAGUGUGCCAGUCCUUGGCUAGUAGACCUAUAAAACUUCUUCAUUGUUAAUUUUAUAAUUUCACGUGUACUUUGGCUGGAACAUAUGGUACAGAGAAGGUAAAUAAUAAAUUAAAAAGUGGUAAAGCAAUUGCCAGUCCUUGAAAUGCCCCAAGAUGAUGAUGACAAUCAAAACCUCAGUUUAUCUCUCUCCGAGGGCUGAUUCCCUUAUGAUGGAGGCAGUCACAGGCUAGCCUCGGAAGUGUUUGAGUGCAAAAUGCUUGACUGUGAAAUGGUUCAAAAUUAUGCUUGAGUAUAAAACUUGGCAGCAUCUGUGUAAAAUGGCACAUCCAUAUGAGCAAUGUAUGUCACUUCAUUUCUGUAGUGGGAGGAAGUAGGGCUACAAAAGGCAAUAAACGGCUGGAAGAAAUCAACUACUGGAAUGUUUUUACGGAUGAAUUAUAAAAUUGUUUUUAAAAACUUCCAUCUCCCCUCCAUUUUCUUCUCCAAGCAAGAUCCUUGCAUUGACCUUUGCCAGAAGAGUGACUGGUACAAUUUCUCUCCAACCCAAAUAUUGCAAGGUUAGCACAAAGAUGCCUUUAGCAGCCAGCUUGCAUUGCUGUGCUGAUGAUCUAGGAAAGCGGUAUCUGAAAAAAAUAUCCUUUUUUAAAGUGAGAAAAUAACUGUGUUUUAAGGUAUGAUCCUAACUGAUAAUCACAGCCUAAAGACCUGAAGUGUGUUCUUGAUACAAAAUAUGGUUGCAUUUUCAGUUUUCUGAAACUGCAAUUUGAGACGUGGUCCAAGCAGUUCAUCUUCCACUCGCUUCAACAGAGGCUGAGAGCAGUGCAUAAUACAAUUAUUAUUGGGGUUUUUUUUACUUUAUAAAUCCUUUGCAUCUCAGUGUAGGCAUCCAAAAUUAAAUGGUAUUGAUGAAAAUACCCAGUAGGCAUGAAUAAAAUAUCCAGUGCCAUAGUGUUGCUGUACUGCCUAAAACAAAUUGCAAAAUAAAUAAAUAAAAAUCCUACAAUUUUACAUGGGUAGUUUUUACUGCAUUCUUGUCUUGGUCAAUCCAAAACAAUGAAGCAGCUGCUUGCCUUAUUAGUUUCACAGCAGGAACUGUUAAUUCAGUUCCAAAUCCAACAUUAACCACCAAAGGCUUUGCUCCUAAAAUAUAACAGAUUUAGUUAGGCUACAUUGCUUUAUCACUCACCAUGCUAUUUCUUUAAUUUUUAAGACAAAUUUUGCCUGCAAAUAGCUUGAAUCCAUUAAUAUCCUUACACCUUAUUCUUUUGUUGGAAAUUGCAACUGAUGUAGAAUAAAGCAUUCAUCUCCUGACUGGAAUUUAUUCAUUUGUGAACACAUUGCAUCAAGGCCCAGUUCCAGGUCUGUCGGGGCAUUCAGCAGAGGAGGAGUAACUGGCCUUAUCCACCCCAGCAUAGUACCUCCAGUGGCUGUUGCUGAUGUCUAUCUUUUGUUUCAUUUUAGAUUGUGAGCCCUUUGAGGACAGGGAGCCAUCUUUCUUUCUUAUCUAUCUAUCUAUCUAUCUAUCUAUUUGGUGUGUUCUAUUGGGUGUGUUGGUAUGUUUUAAUGGAAAUUUAAUGUGAUUUUAAUAUGUUUUAACUGUUAAAUUAUUGGUUUGUUUUAUGCUGUAAACCACAUAGAGACUUCAGUAGUGGGCAAUAUAUAAAUCUAUUAAAUAAACAAAUAAACAUUG